GAUCAUGGCUCAGGAUGAACGCUAGCGACAGGCUUAACACAUGCAAGUCGAGGGGCAUCAUGAGGUAGCAAUACCUUGAUGGCGACCGGCGCACGGGUGAGUAACGCGUAUGCAACCUGCCUGAUACCGGGGUAUAGCCCAUGGAAACGUGGAUUAACACCCCCAUAGUACUUUUAUCCUGCAUGGGAUGUGAGUUAAAUGUUCAAGGUAUCGGAUGGGCAUGCGUCCUA
rnacentral:rRNA from 1 species